UAAACAUGCAUCAAAUAAUUAAAACGUUCCUCGUGCUGCUCUCUGUCAUUCUGAUGUUUUGUUGUUUUAUAACACUCGUUGAAGCGGAUCCAUCCAAGUGUGGCAUCUUUUAUAAAAGACGAUGCAGAUUUCCGGAAGUAGCAGCCAUGUGUCCCCAUGUCUGCAAUGGUUAACGAAUUUUUAAAUCCAAGGAGCGAAGAUUUAGAAAUUCGAGAAGAUUUUGAUUUAAACGAUAUCAGUUAUUCCCAUGUAAUUGAAAUUAAAAAUAAAGGUCCUAUUAACAUUUGCCUACGCUCUUCAAACCAAACGAUGAUCGUGUAUAACAAACGUCGAAUAUAUUAUCAAUAUAUUCGGAUACCGAAAACGCCAAGAGCUAACCAGAGAGAAACACGAAGGAAUAUUUGUUCUCGUAUAUAUAGUUCUCUUAUUGUCAUGUCAUAAUAUUAUGUAAUAUUUGUACCAAAGAAGGUAAAAUAUUUCUUUUUAUUUCUUUAAAGAUAUAAUAUCGCAACAAUAUUGUUUGAAUCUUUUUCAAAGAUUUACCGAAAUGUUCUUUCCUAUCUAAAUACUGUAAAACUUCUGAUAUAUCGUUGUCAUAAUUGGAUAAAAUAUCGUUCCAAAUAAAAUAUCUAUGAAUUUAAUCGUA